AUUGAACGCUGGCGGCAGGCUUAACACAUGCAAGUCGAGCGGUAACAGAGAGAAGCUUGCUUCUCUGCUGACGAGCGGCGGACGGGUGAGUAAUGCCUAGGAAUCUGCCUAGUAGUGGGGGAUAACUUGCCGAAAGGUAAGCUAAUACCGCAUACGUCCUACGGGAGAAAGGAGGGGACCUUCGGGCCCUUCGCUAUUAGAUGAGCCUAGGUCGGAUUAGUUAGUUGGUGAGGUAAUGGCUCACCAAGACCGCGAUCCGUAACUGGUCUGGAAGGAUGAUCAGUCACAAUGGAACUGAGACACGGUCCAGACUCCUACGGGAGGAAGCAGUGGGAAUAUUGAACAAUGGGGGGAACCCUGAUCCAGCCAUGCCGCGUGUGUGAAGAAGGUCUUAGGAUUGUAAAGCACUUUAAGUUGGGAGGAAGAGCAGUUAACUAAUAUUUGACUGUUUUGACGUUACCGACAGAAUAAGCACCGGCUAACUUCGUGCCAGCCGCCGCCGUAA
rnacentral:rRNA from 1 species